UACGGAGGAUCCAAGCGUUAUCCGGAUUUAUUGGGUUUAAAGGGUGCGUAGGCGGCCUAUUAAGUCAGGGGGGAAAGACGGUGGCUCAACCAUCGCAGUGCCUUUGAUACUGAUGGGCUUGAAUGAACCUGAGGUAGGCGGAAUGUGACAAGUAGCGGUGAAAUGCAUAGAUAUGUCACAGAACACCAAUUGCGAAGGCAGCUUACUAAAGUUUAAUUGACGCUGAGGCACGAAAGCGUGGGGAUCAAACAGG
rnacentral:rRNA from 1 species